rnacentral:rRNA from 1 species
UACGUAGGAUGCAAGCGUUGUCCGGAAUUACUGGGCGUAAAGGGCGAGCAGGUGGCACUACAAGUCUGAUGUAAAAAUCUCCCCGGCUUAACUGGGAGGGGCCAUUGGAAACUGUAGAGCUGGAGUGCAGGAGAGGCUAACGGAAUUCCCGGUGUAGUGGUGAAAAUGCGUAGAUAUCGGGGAGGAACACCAGUGGCGAAGGCGGUUAGCUGGCCUGUAAACUGACACUGAG